CUCGACAGCACUGCCCUGACCUCUGGGUCCAUGGAGGCAACACUCCAGUGGGGCCAGUUGCAAGAGUUGGCCAGGAAAGGCACAUGUUUGGGAGCAUGGGCCUGCAGGCAUGGCAUGUCCUCAGGAGACAGGCAGGGCUGGUGCCCAGGGCAGUGAGUCCAGCCACUGGCAGGGAGUGUUUCUUGAUGGUCCAGGGAGGCCCAUGGUGAUUUCCCUACCCUGGCCUGAACACGCUGCUUCUCUGCAAAACUCUGCAUGCAGGUUGAGAUCCUGACAGCAGGACAUGGUGGCAUGAAAUGUUGACAGCAGCCUAUGAAGCAUUGUUGGCUUGUUUGACUGUCUAGUGGUGGGAAGAAGGACAAAGACAGGCACCAUGCACAGCUCCAUCUUCUUUCUUUCCUCCUGGCACAUUUCCCCCAGCCAGGCCAAUCCUCUCUGCUUGCAACCACAGGUAAUUCUGCAACCCACCCCUUCCUGCAGGAGCAGGAGUUGCUCCUUGGGAUACACACAACACUUUUCUUCCAGCUUGACUUCAAGUUGGGCAGGACAGCUGAGGAGGCAGAGCCACAAAGUUUUCACCAGUUCCAGGCUCUCACCCGCCACUGCCAAGAAGGAAAGUUUUUUCUGAGAGCUAAGUCCCCUGCAGCCAACAAGAACAGCACCAUGCUCUGCCACCUCUGUGGGAAGGAACACCCAGCGUCACCAACCUGCUGGCAACAAGGUGGAGCUGUCAGUGGCUUUUGCAUUCACUGGAUAUUGUCCAUUUUCUGAAAGGGGAUCAGCUAAUAACCAGUUACACCCAACUUUUCUGCAGGGCCUGGCUGGUACGCAGCUCUUCCGUGAGCACCAGGCUCCCCAAAGAGCAUUUCAGCAGCAGAGCAAAGCAAAGGCAUGAAAGAGGGCACCUGUCACCAUCUGGGAGAGCAAGAAGACAGUGCAGACAGGGAGAGCUGGCUCGUGGGUGGCAUUGCUGAGAUCAGCAGUGCUGGCCGUGCUAGCUGAGGGUUCACACCUUGCUGUGCAAGACGAGACCAGGUCCCCACUGCUCCAGACACAAGCAGAAGGAACAAGGCACCUGUGCAGUCGUGAAAGGCUCCAAACACAGGGAAAUGCUGGUUCUUGCAGCAAUCAGCUGAUGCCCUGAAGCCAGAGGUUUGCUCACUUGCACCUUGGUGUGUCUAAAUAUAAUACAAGUAUUGUUCUGAGCCCUGCGUCAGCCCCGCUGAAAUCCAGCCACCAAUACCUGAUUUUCUCGCCUUCCUCAGCUGUGAGACGCGAGACAUGCAAGCCUGUGUGAAGGAACUUUUCCUUUCCUUUCUCCCCAGUGUUCCUGCCAUUGCCAUCACUGGCUGAUCACCUGGCCUCCUCUCUUGAGAUGUCCUUGAAGAGGCGCUAAUUUGCAAUUUCAAGGUGCUAUUACUUCUAUUGUCACUUUCAUAAUCCUCAGAACUUCACUACAAGCUCCCCUUGAAAUCAUCUGAACAAGCCAGCUGGAAAAUGGACAAGCUGCACAAGUAAAUCCAACUAAAUUUUUGCCUUCUUUCCAUUCAGUUCGAGCUGCUUCUGAAAGGCCAUGAUGAGCUUGAAAUCAAAGUUAACUUUGAUUAACUCCACUUUAACUCCACAUU
ensembl:lncRNA